AUGGAAGCUGAACAUCUCCGGAGUGUGUGUUAUGUGCCAGCAAGAAUUGGAAACUAGAGAUCAUUUAUUUCUGCAUUGCUCCUUUGCUUCACUGUUGAGAUAUCAAACAAUGCAAUGGCUGAGAACUGAUGAUUUCACUGGACAAUAUUGGAUACAAUUCUGUCAAUGGAUCAUUAUGCAGUCCAAAGGAAAAUCUGUCCGAGC
rnacentral:lncRNA from 1 species